GACGAACGCUGGCGGCGUGCUUAACACAUGCCAGUCGAACGGAAAGGCCCUGCUUUUGUGGGGUGCUCGAGUGGCGAACGGGUGAGUAACACGUGAGUAACCUGCCCUUGACUUUGGGAUAACUUCAGGCAACUGGGGCUACUACCGGCUAGGAGCUCCUGCUGCAUGGUGGGGGUCGGACAGUUUCGGCGGUUGGGGAUGGACUCGCGGCUUAUCAGCUUGUUGGUGGGGUAGUGGCUUACCAAGGCUUUGACGGGUAGCCGGCCUGGGAGGGUGACCGGCCACAUUGGGACUGAGAUACGGCCCAGACUCCUACGGGAGGCAGCAGUGGGGAAUAUUGCACAAUGGGCGGAAGCCUGAUGCAGCAACGCCGCGUGCGGGAUGACGGCCUUCGGGUUGUAAACCGCUUUCGCCUGUGACGAAGCGGGAGUGACGGUAAUGGGUAAAGAAGCACCGGCUAACUACGUG
rnacentral:rRNA from 1 species